UGGGGAAUUUUGGACAAUGGGGGCAACCCUGAUCCAGCCAUGCCGCGUGUGUGAAGAAGGCCUUCGGGUUGUAAAGCACUUUCGGCCGGAACGAAAUCGCGCGGGUGAAUAUCCCGCGUGGAUGACGGUACCGGAAGAAGAAGCACCGGCUAACUACGUGCCAGCAGCCGCGGUAAUACGUAGGGUGCGAGCGUUAAUCGGAAUUACUGGGCGUAAAGUGUGCGCAGGCGGCCGAGCAAGUCGAGUGUGAAAUCCCCGAGCUUAACUUGGGAAUUGCGCUCGAAACUACUUGGCUGGAGUGUGGCAGAGGGGGGUGGAAUUCCACGUGUAGCGGUGAAAUGCGUAGAGAUGUGGAGGAACACCAAUGGCGAAGGCAGCCCCCUGGGCCAACACUGACGCUCAUGCACGAAAGCGUGGGGAGCAAACAGG
rnacentral:rRNA from 1 species